GCAAGUCGAACGAUGAAGCCAGCUUGCUGGUGGAUUAGUGGCGAACGGGUGAGUAACACGUGGGUGAUCUGCCCCAAACUUUGGGAUAAGCCUGGGAAACUGGGUCUAAUACCGAAUAUGACCACUGGAUGCAUGUCUGGUGGUGGAAAGCUCCGGCGGUUUGGGAUGGGCCCGCGGCCUAUCAGCUUGUUGGUGGGGUAAUGGCCUACCAAGGCGACGACGGGUAGCCGGCCUGAGAGGGCGACCGGCCACACUGGGACUGAGACACGGCCCAGACUCCUACGGGAGGCAGCAGUGGGGAAUAUUGCACAAUGGGCGCAAGCCUGAUGCAGCGACGCCGCGUGAGGGAUGACGGCCUUCGGGUUGUAAACCUCUUUCACCAGGGACGAAGCGAAAGUGACGGUACCUGGAGAAGAAGCACCGGCCAACUACGUGCCAGCAGCCGCGGUAAUACGUAGGGUGCGAGCGUUGUCCGGAAUUACUGGGCGUAAAGAGUUCGUAGGCGGUUUGUCGCGUCGUUCGUGAAAACUUGGGGCUUAACUCCAAGCGUGCGGGCGAUACGGGCAGACUUGAGUACUACAGGGGAGACUGGAAUUCCUGGUGUAGCGGUGAAAUGCGCAGAUAUCAGGAGGAACACCGGUGGCGAAGGCGGGUCUCUGGGUAGUAACUGACGCUGAGGAACGAAAGCGUGGGUAGCGAACAGGAUUAGAUACCCUGGUAGUCCACGCCGUAAACGGUGGGUACUAGGUGUGGGUUCCUUUUCAC
rnacentral:rRNA from 1 species